rnacentral:tRNA from 1 species
GAGGGUAUAGCUCAGUGGUAGAGUGCAUGCCUAGCAUACAGAAGGUCCUGGGUUCAAGCCCCAGUAUUUCCA